UGCAGAAGCCACCCCUGUAACCCCCCCGCUACCACAACCUUGCCACGCAAACCCAAUACAGCGGUAACUGGUAUUUAUGUGACACUUUUACAUGGUCUUCUCUCAAAUUAACUAGGGCUUCAACUUGAUGGAAGAAUUUAGAAAAAAAUAGGAAAGGGUAGGUUACAGAAUUAGGCCCUGCAAUUGUGGGCCAGAAUGGUCGUAGGACAGUGAAAAAGGGCAGUCCUCUGGCAAGCACUAUGCUGGGUACAAAUCUAAACUAGAUUGGUAAAGCCUGAUGAUUCUUCAGAACCUGAUGCUGGGCAAGCCACAGUCUUCCAAUUCAAGAUUGCAGCAGUGCUCUACGCACUAAUGUUGUCCGCUGUGCUCAGGCUGCAUGGUAGUGACAUAGAAGUGGACUUGGCAUUAAAGAGCUGGACUGACAUGCCUGAUUUCUAAAACCCUAUCGCUCUUCAGAUACUCUAGUAAGAACUGAACAGACCAAAGUAUAUCUCAAAGAGAAUGUUUCUUGCAUUUGGUGAAAAACAUGCAGCAGAUGUUUUGGAGCAGAUAUUUGAUUAAAUGCAAGUGCUUUUAAGGUUUGAGUGAGUUAUGUGAUUUCCAGGAUGACACUUAUGCAGUAUAGCUUCUCCUAAGUCUGUCUUUUUCAUGCAUUUCUCUCUCAAGCAUUGCUCCCCAGUGCUAUAAAAUAAAUCGGU